GGAGUUAGGAAAUGCAGGAGCGUUAAUAGCGUUCUUGCUUGACUAAGGCUCCAGAGGAAGCCACGGCUAACUCUGUGCCAGCAGCCGCGGUAAUACAGAGGCGGCAAGCGUUGUUCGGAAUUAUUGGGCGUAAAGAGCACGUAGGCGGCCUUGCAAGUCAGUUGUGAAAGCCUUCCGCUCAACGGAAGAAUGCCAGCUGAUACUACAGGGCUUGAGUACGGGAGGGGAGAGUGGAACUUCUGGU
rnacentral:rRNA from 1 species